UUUCUUUUUAGAUUUCACAUAUAAGGAGUGUCAUAUGAUAUUGCUUCUUCUCUGUCUGAGUUGCUUCACUCAAUAUGUCAGUCUCUAGAUCUGUCCAUGUUGCUGCAGAUGGCAUUACUCCAUCCUUUUAAAUGGUUUGACUCCCUUUCCAUCAGUUUUUCACUCGGCCAUCGUGAUAAACUCUUUAAAACCCGAACGAAAUCGUGUUACCAGUUGCUUCAAAUCUUUCCAUCAUCAUUGUUGCUGCUGCUACUACUAAGUCACCUCAGUCGUGUCUGACUCUGUGCGACCCCAUAGACGGCAGCCCACCAGGCUCCGCCAUCCCUGGGAUUCUCCAGGCAAGAACACUGGAGUGGGUUGCCAUUUCCUUCUCCAAUGCAUGAAAGUGAAAAGUGAAAGUGAAGUCACUCAGUCCUGUCGGAUUCUUCACAACCCCAUGGACUGCAGCCCACCAGGCUCCUCCAUCCAUGGGAUUUUCCAGGCAAGAGUACUGGAGUGGGUUGCCAUUGCCUUCUCUGAUCAUCAUUGUUACCAGCAGGAUAAAAGCCAGCACCAGAAGCAAUGACAUGACUGGGGCAAAUUACUUGGACCAGCAGUCAGUGUAUGUACCCCAGCUGGCCUCCAUACUGGACCCUGAACACGGAAGGAGUGCUGCAACCAUCAAAGUGAAAUAGCAAUUGGGAGAUGACAGUCUCAAAGCACUUAUUUUUACCCAAUGC
ensembl:lncRNA